AACGAACGCUGACGGCAGGCUUAACACAUGAAAGUAGAGCCCACCGCAAGGGGAGCGGCAGACGGGUGAGUAACGCGUGGGAAUCUACCCAUCUCUACGGGAUAACGCAUGGAAACGUGUGCUAAUACCGUAUACGUCCUUCGGGAGAAAAAAUUAUCGGAGGUGGAUGAACCCGCGUUGGAUUAGCUAGUUGGUGGGGUUAAGCCCUACCAAGGCGACGAUCCAUAGCUGGUCUGAGAGGAUGAUCAGCCACACUGGGACUGAGUACACUGCCCAAACUCCAACGCGAGGCAGCAGUGGUGAAUAUUGGAAAAAGGGCGCAAGCCUGAAGCAGCCAUGCCGCGUGAGUGAUGAAGGCCCUAGGGUUGUAAAGCUCUUUCACCGGUGAAGAUAAUGACGGUAACCGGAGAAGAAGCCCCGGCUAACUUCGCGCCAGCCGCCGCAGUAAAAC
rnacentral:rRNA from 1 species